rnacentral:rRNA from 1 species
AUUGAACGCUGGCGGCAGGCCUAACACAUGCAAGUCGAGCGGAUGAAGGGAGCUUGCUCCUGGAUUCAGCGGCGGACGGGUGAGUAAUGCCUAGGAAUCUGCCUGGUAGUGGGGGAUAACGUCCGGAAACGGGCGCUAAUACCGCAUACGUCCUGAGGGAGAAAGUGGGGGAUCUUCGGACCUCACGCUAUCAGAUGAGCCUAGGUCGGAUUAGCUAGUUGGUGGGGUAAAGGCCUACCAAGGCGACGAUCCGUAACUGGUCUGAGAGGAUGAUCAGUCACACGGGAACUGAGACACGGUCCAGACUCCUACGGGAGGCAGCAGUGGGGAAUAUUGGACAAUGGGCGAAAGCCUGAUACAGCCAUGCCGCGUGUGUGAAGAAGGUCUUCGGAUUGUAAAGCACUUUAAGUUGGGAGGAAGGGCAGUAAGUUAAUACCUUGCUGUUUUGACGGUACCAACAGAAUAAGCACCGGCUAACUUCGUG